CCUGGUGUAAGUGAUGACUGAACUUUUUUCCCCAUCAGACCCUUUGCCAGUUUGUUUGGUGCACCAGU